rnacentral:rRNA from 1 species
AACCAACAGGGAUUGCCCUAGUAACGGCGAGUGAAGCGGCAACAGCUCAAAUUUGAAAUCUGGCUCUUUCAGAGUCCGAGUUGUAAUUUGCAGAGGGCGCUUUGGCUUUGGCAGCGGUCCAAGUUCCUUGGAACAGGACGUCACAGAGGGUGAGAAUCCCGUACGUGGUCGCUAGCUAUUGCCGUGUAAAGCCCCUUCGACGAGUCGAGUUGUUUGGGAAUGCAGCUCUAAAUGGGAGGUAAAUUUCUUCUAAAGCUAAAUAUUGGCCAGAGACCGAUAGCGCACAAGUAGAGUGAUCGAAAGAUGAAAAGCACUUUGGAAAGAGAGUCAAACAGCACGUGAAAUUGUUGAAAGGGAAGCGCUUGCAGCCAGACUUGCUUGCAGUUGCUCAUCCGGGCUUUUGCCCGGUGCACUCUUCUGCAGGCAGGCCAGCAUCAGUUUGGGCGGUGGGAUAAAGGUCUCUGUCAUGUACCUCUCUUCGGGGAGGCCUUAUAGGGGAGGCGACAUACCACCAGCCUAGACUGAGGUCCGCGCAUCUGCUAGGAUGCUGGCGUAAUGGCUGUAAGCGGCCCGUCUUGAAACACGGACCAAGGAGUCUAACAUCUAUGCGAGUGUUUGGGUGUCAAGCCCGAGCGCGUAAUGAAAGUGAACGGAGGUGGGAACCCGCAAGGGUGCACCAUCGACCGAUCCUGAAGUUUACGGAAGGAUUUGAGUAAGAGCAUGGCUGUUGGGACCCGAAAGAUGGUGAACUAUGCUUGAAUAGGGUGAAGCCAGAGGAAACUCUGGUGGAGGCUCGCAGCGGUUCUGACGUGCAAAUCGAUCGUCAAAUUUGGGCAUAGGGGC